rnacentral:rRNA from 1 species
UACGUAGGUGACAAGCGUUGUCCGGAUUUACUGGGCGUAAAGAGCGCGCAGGCGGUCGUUCAAGUCGCGUGUGAAAGCCCCCGGCUCAACUGGGGAGGGUCACGCGAUACUGAUCGACUCGAAGGCAGGAGAGGGAAGUGGAAUUCCCGGUGUAGUGGUGAAAUGCGUAGAUAUCGAGAGGAACACCUGCGGCGAAGGCGGGUUGCUGGGCUGACACUGACGCUGAUUGUGCGAAAGCUAGGGGAGCGAACGGG